UGGGGAAUAUUGGGCAAUGGGCGCAAGCCUGACCCAGCAACGCCGCGUGAGGGAAGAAGGCCUUCGGGUUGUAAACCUCUGUCCUUAGGGACGAAAAAAAUGACGGUACCUAAGGAGGAAGCUCCGGCUAACUACGUGCCAGCAGCCGCGGUAAUACGUAGGGAGCAAGCGUUGUCCGGAAUUACUGGUCGUAAAGGGUGCGUAGGUGGCCAUGCAAGUCAGAUGUGAAAUCCCCGGGCUUAACUCGGGUGCUGCAUUUGAAACUGCGUGGCUUGAGUGCAGGAGAGGAAAGCGGAAUUCCUAGUGUAGCGGUGAAAUGCGUAGAUAUUAGGAGGAACACCAGUGGCGAAGGCGGCUUUCUGGACUGUAACUGACACUGAGGCACGAAAGCGUGGGGAGCAAACA
rnacentral:rRNA from 1 species